rnacentral:tRNA from 1 species
GUGGCUCAGUGGUAGAGCACUUGCUGGUAUGCAUGAGACCCUGGGUUCAAUCCCUAGC